AGUGAACGCUGGCGGUAGGCCUAACACAUGCAAGUCGAACGGCAGCACAGUAAGAGCUUGCUCUUACGGGUGGCGAGUGGCGGACGGGUGAGGAAUACAUCGGAAUCUACUUUUUCGUGGGGGGUAACGUAGGGAAACUUACGCUAAUACCGCAUACGACCUACGGGUGAAAGCAGGGGAUCUUCGGACCUUGCGCGAUUGAAUGAGCCGAUGUCGGAUUAGCUAGUUGGCGGGGUAAAGGCCCACCAAGGCGACGAUCCGUAGCUGGUCUGAGAGGAUGAUCAGCCACACUGGAACUGAGACACGGACCAGACUCCUACGGGAGGCAGCAGUGGGGAAUAUUGGACAAUGGGCGCAAGCCUGAUCCAGCCAUACCGCGUGGGUGAAGAAGGCCUUCGGGUUGUAAAGCCCUUUUGUUGGGAAAGAAAAGCAGCAGGUUAAUACCCCGCUGUUCUGACGGUACCCAAAGAAUAAGCACCGGCUAACUUCGUG
rnacentral:rRNA from 1 species